UUGUUUUGUCUUUCAUACCAGGUCAUGUGUCUUCUCAGUCAUGUUGACACUGGUCUACUACCAGGUCAUGUGUCUUCUCAGUCAUGUUGACACUGGUCUACUACCAGGUCAUGUGUCUUCUCAGUCAUGUUGACACUGGUCUACUACCAGGUCAUGUGUCUUCUCAGUCAUGUUGACACUGGUCUACUACCAGGUCAUGUGUCUUCUCAGUCAUGUUGACACUGGUCUACUACCAGGUCAUGUGUCUUCUCAGUCAUGUUGACACUGGUCUACUACCAGGUCAUGUGUCUUCUCAGUCAUGUUGACACUGGUCUACUACCAGGUCAUGUGUCUUCUCAGUCAGGUUGACACUGGUCUACUACCAGGUCAUGUGUCUUCUCAGUCAGGUUGACACUGGUCUACUACCAGGUCAUGUGUCUUCUCAGUCAGGUUGACACUGGUCUACUACCAGGUCAUGUGUCUUCUCAGUCAUGUUGACACUGGUCUACUACCAGGUCAUGUGUCUUCUCAGUCAUGUUGACACUGGUCUACUACCAGGUCAUGUGUCUUCUCAGUCAGGUUGACACUGGUCUACUACCAGGUCAUGUGUCUUCUCAGUCAUGUUGACACUGGUCUACUACCAGGUCAUGUGUCUUCUCAGUCAGGUUGACACUGGUCUACUACCAGGUCAUGUGUCUUCUCAGUCAGGUUGACACUGGUCUACUACCAGGUCAUGUGUCUUCUCAGUCAGGUUGACACUGGUCUACUACCAGGUCAUGUGUCUUCUCAGUCAGGUUGACACUGGUCUACUACCAGGUCAUGUGUCUUCUCAGUCAGGUUGACACUGGUCUACUACCAGGUCAUGUGUCUUCUCAGUCAGGUUGACACUGGUCUACUACCAGGUCAUGUGUCUUCUCAGUCAGGUUGACACUGGUCUACUACCAGGUCAUGUGUCUUCUCAGUCAGGUUGACACUGGUCUACUACCAGGUCAUGUGUCUUCUCAGUCAGGUUGACACUGGUCUACUACCAGGUCAUGUGUCUUC